rnacentral:lncRNA from 1 species
UGACGUUCGUCAUCCACACCAAAUUCAAGUUCAUCCCCAACACCCUCGUUAUGAAGGUGGCGUGAAAACUCUUCUUCCUCAAAAAGGUCCUUCAGCUACCCAAGUUCUAGCCAUUGUCACACUUCUUCCUGUCGGCGGGACGCUCUUGGGGCUCGCCGGCUUGACGCUUAUCGGGACGAUUAUAGGCCUUUGCGUUGCUACUCCGGUGUUUUUACUCUUCAGCCCGGUUCUUGUUCCAGCUGCUCUCGCUGUUGGCCUAGCUGUCACUGGAUUCUUGACUUCAGGUCAUUAUUGAACUUCCUUCAAAUACUACUAAUUUUUUAGAUGUACAAACAAAAAAAUUAUUUAAUCCAGUAAUAUUAGACAGAGCCAAGAUUUAAAGUUUAUGGGUUCAAAAGUCUUCGUCCUUUUAAAUUACUUUUAAUUAAAUAAAUUUCUUAAAACUAAUAUAAAGUUUGGACCAAACUUACUGAAACCGCAUAUAAGACUCUAUCCCACCACCGGUGGUGUAAAAAUUGCUUUAGGUCAUAUGUUUAAAUAUAAUGACAGCUGUAGCAUUCUUAGCAAUUCUUUUUUAAAUAUACAUCCCUUUGAUAUAAGUGAUUUAGUGUCGUGGUGAAUGUGGUUUACAGGUUGCUGUCAGUGAUAGGUUUAAUUAGAGGUGUGACAUUCUUUCAAUUUCUUCUUGGAAUUGUUUUAAUAAUAUAUUAGUGGUUGUAUUUUCUGACAUAACUUAAAGCUUUUAGUGUAGGGGCAAAUGUGAGUUAAAAAUUGCUUUAGGCUCAAUAACACAGGUGUAGCUUUCUUGAUUUUUUUGAGUUGGUCUUAUUAGAAUUUCUAACUCUUUAUCACUGCUUUAGGUGCCUUUGGAUUAACGGGGCUGUCAUCACUUUCUUGGAUUGUCAAUUACUUUAAGCAAGGGAGGACUGUUACUGAGCAAUUGGACUACACAAAGAGGCGGAUGCAAGAACGAAUU